UAGGGAAUCUUCCGCAAUGGGCGAAAGCUUGACGGAGCAACGCCGCGUGAGUUAUGAAGGUCUUCGGAUCGUAAAACUCUGUUAUUAGGGAAGAACAAAUGUGUAAGUAACUAUGCACGUCUUGACGGUACCUAAUCAGAAAGCCACGGCUAACUACGUGCCAGCAGCCGCGGUAAUACGUAGGUGGCAAGCGUUAUCCGGAAUUAUUGGGCGUAAAGCGCGCGUAGGCGGUUUUUUAAGUCUGAUGUGAAAGCCCACGGCUCAACCGUGGAGGGUCAUUGGAAACUGGAAAACUUGAGUGCAGAAGAGGAAAGUGGAAUUCCAUGUGUAGCGGUGAAAUGCGCAGAGAUAUGGAGGAACACCAGUGGCGAAGGCGACUUUCUGGUCUGUAACUGACGCUGAUGUGCGAAAGCGUAGGGAUCAAACAGG
rnacentral:rRNA from 1 species